rnacentral:misc_RNA from 1 species
UUGCAACUGGGAGUCAUAGUGGACUGCUCCAAUACCAAUUUGUUAUAUUCCCGCGUCAAGUAUCUCAUCACAGGCCUAUGAAUAGGAUAAUCUUGUUAUUGUUUCUUCCCCUUCUUGAGUUUGCUGGAAGUUUUUCUACAAAAGAAUAAUUUUAUUCGGACAUAAGAGAGAAAUAUGUGCAAGAGAAUAGGACAUUCUCUUAAAAAUAAACUAAAAACCAAAAACAUAAAAAAAAAGUUCUUAAAAUAAGAGUUCUCUCUGAUCAAUUGGAUAUCACUAAAAGAAAUUCACUUGAAAAAUCUGGAAGUAAAACACCUUGAAACUGUCACCAUGUAACUCAUCUGAAAUAAACAUGUACUUAAAAAGUUCCAACUUUAGAUUGCAUUGCUGCCAGUUCAAAUUUCCUCUCUGAGAGUAGUGCUUAAUUAAUAGCCAUCCGAGUAUUCAUUUGCAGUUGCGUGCAUAUUAUUAUUUUCAUUUAUCAAUGAUGAAUGGUUGUAUUUUGAAUAUCAAAUUACAUUUAGAGAUCAAAUGUUUUGGUUAUUCUUCUUGGCUCUUAACCUUGAAAUUGCUUUGCACUGUGUUCUAUGCA